GAGGGUAUAGCUCAAGUGGUAGAGCGCAUGCCUAGCAUCACAAGGUCCUGGGUUCAAUCCCCAGUACCUCCU
rnacentral:tRNA from 1 species